GAAACCACCAAGAAGGCGCUCUGAGAAAAGGCAGGAGUCCCAGAAAAUGACAGCUUAAUGCUGACUUCAAGAACUUUCACUUUAACAUCGUUUCAGGUCCCCACGUACGAAGCUCAUCAAGUGACAAAAAUCACACGGGAGGGGAGUCCGCUCCAGCACCGCAUGGAGCCUGCACACCGCAGGAGUGGACAACGACACCAGGGACCGAGGUGGAUGCAGCCCCAGAUGGAUGCAGCCCCAGAUGGAUGCAGCUGAAUGAGGGACCCCAGCAUCUGCAGUGGAUGAACCUCCCAGGAAACCUGCAGAAUCACGAGGAACCAUGAAUCCUGUGCUUUUCCGUAUCUGAGCAUUGGCACGUUUUGUUAAACAUCCAUUGCAUCUCCCAAAGGGCAGGCGUGUCAGGUUUUGAUGAAAUCCAGUUUAUCAAUAUCUCUUUUGUAUGGGUAACGCUUUUGAC